UACGUAGGGUGCAAGCGUUAAUCGGAAUUACUGGGCGUAAAGCGUGCGCAGGCGGUUUUGUAAGUCUGUUGUGAAAUCCCCGGGCUCAACCUGGGAACUGCAUUUGUGACUGCACGGCUGGAGUGCGGCAGAGGGGGAUGGAAUUCCGCGUGUAGCAGUGAAAUGCGUAGAUAUGCGGAGGAACACCGAUGGCGAAGGCAAUCCCCUGGGCCUGCACUGACGCUCAUGCACGAAAGCGUGGGGAGCAAACAGG
rnacentral:rRNA from 1 species